GGCGCACGGGUGAGUAAUAUAUAGCUAACUUGCCUCUUACUAAGGGAUAAUUGCUGGAAACGGCUUGUAAUACCUUAUAUGCCUUUUGAACAGAAGUUCGUAAAGGGAAAGAUUUAUCGGUAAGAGAUAGGGCCGUACAGUAUCAGUUAGUUGGUGGGGUAAUGGCUUACCAAGACAAUGACACUUAACUGGUUUGAGAGGAUGAUCAGUCACACUGGAACUGAGACACGGUCCAGACUCCUACGGGAGGCAGCAGUGGGGAAUAUUGCACAAUGGAGGAAACUCUGAUGCAGCAACGCCGCGUGGAGGAUGACACAUUUCGGUGCGUAAACUCCUUUUAUAUAAGAAGAUAAUGACGGUAUUAUAUGAAUAAGCACCGGCUAACUCCGUGCCAGCAGCCGCGGUAAUACGGGGGGUGCAAGCGUUACUCGGAAUCACUGGGCGUAAAGAGCAUGUAGGCGGAUAGAUAAGUUGGAAGUGAAAUCCACUGGCUUAACCAGUGAACUGCUUCCAAAACUGUCUAUCUAGAAUAUGGGAGAGGUAGAUGGAAUUUCUGGUGUAGGGGUAAAAUCCGUAGAGAUCAGAAGGAAUACCGAUUGCGAAGGCGAUCUACUGGAACAUUAUUGACGCUCAGAUGCGAAAGCGUGGGGAGCAAACAGGAUUAGAUACCCUGGUAGUCCACGCCCU
rnacentral:rRNA from 1 species